UCCCAUUCGGUGAUCAGGAGUGAACACAGACCACUCACCAUGGAGUAUUGGCUGAGCUGGGUUUUCCUUGUUGCUAUUUUAAGAGGUGUCCAGUGUGAGGUGCAGCUGGUGGAGUCUGGGGGAGGCUUGGUGCAGCCUGGGGGGUCUCUGAGACUCCCCUGUGCAGCCUCUGGAUUCACCUUCAGCAGCUAUAGCAUUGACUGGGUCCGCCAGGCUCCAGGGAAGGGGCUUGAGUGGGUCUCAUACAUUAAUAAAGAUGGUAGUAGCACAUACUACGCUGACUCCGUGAAGGGCCGAUUCACCAUCUCCAGAGACAACUCCAAGAACACGCUGUAUCUGCAAACUAACAGCCUGAGACCCGAGGACACGGCCGUGUAUUACUGUGCAGUAUACACAGUGAGGGGAAAUUAA